GACGAACGCUGGCGGCGUGCUUAACACAUGCAAGUCGAACGGAAAGGCCCUGCUUUUGUGGGGUGCUCGAGUGGCGAACGGGUGAGUAACACGUGAGUAACCUGCCCUUGACUUUGGGAUAACUUCAGGAAACUGGGGCUAAUACCGGAUAGGAGCUCCAGCUGCAUGGUGGGGGUUGGAAAGUUUCGGCGGUUGGGGAUGGACUCGCGGCUUAUCAGCUUGUUGGUGGGGUAGUGGCUUACCAAGGCUUUGACGGGUAGCCGGCCUGAGAGGGUGACCGGCCACAUUGGGACUGAGAUACGGCCCAGACUCCUACGGGAGGCAGCGGUGGGGAAUAUUGCACAAUGGGCGGAAGCCUGAUGCAGCAACGCCGCGUGCGGGAUGACGGCCUUCGGGUUGUAAACCGCUUUCGCCUGUGACGAAGCGUGAGUGACGGUAAUGGGUAAAGAAGCACCGGCUAACUACGUG
rnacentral:rRNA from 1 species